rnacentral:rRNA from 1 species
UACGUAGGGGGCAAGCGUUGUCCGGAUUUAUUGGGCGUAAAGAGCGUGUAGGCGGCUAGGUAGGUCCGUUGUGAAAACUCGAGGCUCAACCUCGAGACGCCGAUGGAAACCAUCUAGCUAGAGUCCGGAAGAGGAGAGUGGAAUUCCUGGUGUAGCGGUGAAAUGCGCAGAUAUCAGGAAGAACACCCGUGGCGAAGGCGGCUCUCUAGUACGGUACUGACGCUGAGACGCGAAAGCGUGGGGAGCGAACAGG